rnacentral:lncRNA from 1 species
GGUGCUAUGACAGUUGAAUGUCUAGUCGAUAAUUUGAAGUUCCUUGGCUACUUGGCCAAACCAUCUCCUCGUUGGUCAUAAUGAUAGACCUAUGGCCUUUUCUUGGACUGAAGUGUCCUGUUUCUGUAAAAUUUAUCAUUCUUAAAGGCCAAUAUUUUCUCAAGAGAAAUGACUGCUACUUUGGCAUUUAAAGAUGCAUUGC